UACAGAGGUCCCAAGCGUUGUUCGGAUUUACUGGGCGUAAAGGGAGCGUAGGUGGCAUUCUAAGUCUGAUGUGAAAGCUCUGAGCUUAACUCAGAAAUGGCAUUAGAUACUAGUUUGCUUGAGGAUUGGAGGGGAGAUUGGAAUUCUUGGUGUAGCAGUGAAAUGCGUAGAUAUCAAGAGGAACACCAGUGGCGAAGGCGAAUCUCUGGACAAUUCCUGACACUGAUGCUCGAAAGCUAGGGGAGCAAACAGG
rnacentral:rRNA from 1 species